CGCCUGGGGGGGAAACCCACGACCAGUGCAACAGAGAGCAAACCGCCGAUGGCCCACGCAAGUGGGAUCAGGUAAGGGUGAAAGGGUGCGGUAAGAGCGCACCGCGCGGCUGGUAACAGUCCGUGGCACGGUAAACUCCACCCGGAGCAAGGCCAAAUAGGGGUUCAUAAGGUACGGCCCGUACUGAACCCGGGUAGGCUGCUUGAGCCAGUGAGCGAUUGCUGGCCUAGAUGAAUGACUGUCCACGACAGAACCCGGCUUAUCGGUCAGUUUCACUU
rnacentral:RNase_P_RNA from 1 species